ensembl:lncRNA
AAACCAAAGAACUGCCUGCGGAGAGAUGGCAAUGUGUGGAGGCACAAAUCUGGGAAGGGCUACAAAAACAUUACGCUCCAUUGAGAGGUUCGCAAGAGCACAGGGGCUUCCAUAAUUUCUCAGCAGAAGACGUUUAGCAGAAACAGAGCUCUUCCUUGAGUCUAGCAAAAUAAUGAGGGACCUGAGGAACAACAGCCAAUUUGGACCGAAAAUCCCAGUUCAACUCGGGGUAAUCUGAUUUCUCUGCUCCCCAGAAAUCUACAUGUAUAGUGCUUAUCAACUAGAUUACUGGCAGGGACACCAUCUUCUCGCCAGUGGUGGAAGAGGUUUCCUGGACUCGUAGCUCCCAGUGUGGACUAUAAGAAGGUUCCUCCCAGUCCUGUAUGUGGAUACAAUACAGGGUCAAGUAUGGGUUGUGGUAAACGGAUGACCACCACCCACGUACCCUCGUCACCGCAGAGGUCAAUCCGCCUGGAACCAGGGCACCAAUCCCUUCAAGGUGAUUAUUGAUAAAGGGCGACACGCCAAUGUAGACACGG